AAUAAAGUGCCUGAUAAAAAGGAUUAUUCUGAUAGGAUAAAUAAUGUAGACUUCUACCUUUAUUA
rnacentral:tRNA from 1 species